rnacentral:rRNA from 1 species
GAUGAACGCUGGCGGCGUGCUUAACACAUGCAAGUCGAACGAGAAGUGAAGACGGAAACCUUCGGGCGGAAGGCUUUAUUUCGAGUGGUGGACGGGUGAGUAACGCGUGGGUAACCUGCCUCAUACAGGGGGAUAACAGUUGGAAACGACUGUUAAUACCGCAUAAGACCACAGCACCGCAUGGUGCGGGGGUAAAAACUCCGGUGGUAUGAGAUGGACCCGCGUUCGAUUAGCCAGUUGGCGGGGUAACGGCCCACCAAAGCGACGAUCGAUAGCCGAUCUGAGAGGAUGACCGGCCACAUUGGGACUGAGACACGGCCCAAACUCCUACGGGAGGCAGCAGUGGGGAAUAUUGCACAAUGGGGGAAACCCUGAUGCAGCGACGCCGCGUGAGUGAAGAAGUAUUUCGGUAUGUAAAGCUCUAUCAGCAGGGAAGAAAAUGACGGUACCUGAGUGAGAAGCCCCGGCUAACUACGUG